rnacentral:rRNA from 1 species
GUCUAUGGCCAUGCCACCCUGAACAAGCCCGAUUCCAUCUGAUCUCAGAAGCUAAGCAGGGUCGGGCCUGGUUAGUACUUGGAUGGGAGACCACCUAGGAAGACCAGGUGCUAUAGGUA